rnacentral:ncRNA from 2 species
UCGCCAUCCAGAGCGGCCGAGAGACCCGGCUCGUCGACGCCGCAGCAACCUCCCCCCGGGGCAGGUGCUCCCGCCGGGACCGAUGGGAA